AAUGAACGUUGGCGGCGUGGACUAGGCAUGCGAGUCGCGCGAGAAUCGUAGCAAUACGAGGAAAGCGGCGAAAGGGAGAGGAAUACGUAGAAAUCUGCCCUCGGGACUGGGAUAGCGGCGGGAAACUGCCGGUAAUGCCAGAUAACGUCUUCGGACCAAAGGUGUGAUUCCGCCUGAGGAUGAGUCUACGACCUAUUAGCUUGUUGGCGGGGUAAUGGCCCACCAAGGCGACGAUGGGUAGCAGGUGUGAGAGCACGACCUGCCUCAUUGGGACUGAGACACUGCCCAGACACCUACGGGUGGCUGCAGUCGAGAAUCUUCGGCAAUGGACGAAAGUCUGACCGAGCGACGCCGCGUGCGGGAUGAAGGCCUUCGGGUUGUAAACCGCUGUCGUAGGGAACCAAAUUCAUGGGGGUUCUCCCCUGUGAUUGAGAGAACCUAGGAGGAAGGAGAGGCUAAGCUCGUGCCAGCAGCCGCCGUAA
rnacentral:rRNA from 1 species